CAGGGAUCAGCUCGUAUUCUCGUUUAAUCUAUCCGAUUGUCAUUCGUCACUCACCAGUACCCAUUAGUCACUAGUAAUAAUGCUUCAAAUCUGCAUAUUUCGUUCGUUUUUAUUUCGAAUAAAAAUGUUCCCCUGCAAAUUCAUCGGUUUUUUAAAAGUGUUCUUCAUGAAGUCGGCUGACGAUGUACCGUUAGAAUUAUUAAAAUAAUUUAAUAUUCCUAUCGAGCAGAUAAUAAACCAUGGAAACAAAGAAGAUUCGGAAGUGGUGAAUCAUUUCCUAUCUUAACCUUGCCGUGGAUAUUAGUCAACGAGUAGAAGAAUAAUUUUUUUAAAUUAUUACUAAAGACCAACUAACCAAAUUAUUAUUAUUAUUAUUAUUAACGAAGAGCGACCGAGGCAUAAUACAUGCUGGAAAUGUGAAUUAGGAAAAGGUGAUUUUUCUAAUACAUACCACAUGACUGCCGACCACCAUCACCUGUUUUUGCAAAGUACUGAAAUUUGUACGGUUCUUCUUACACAAUCUUUCGAAUUACGACUCGGAUUUCAUAGUAACCGAAUUAGGUUAAAUGUAGAAUCUAUUACUGUGGUACCUAUCAAUGAAGAAAAAUGUAUUUAGUUUUCAAAAUACACCAGUAAUACUUUUUCCCUACGAUUUAUAGAUUCGUUGUGAUUUAUGGCGUCUAGUUUAUCGUCUCUAGUCUUGUACCUAAACACCCCACAAUGCGAAAAGUUCCAUGAAACAUGUAUAGUAUUUAAUAUCGAAGAUAUGGCACUUGUCACGGUAAAAGGUGUGUGUAUACACAGACAGUUAAAAAAAGAAACAUUACCAAGGAAAAAAGAUUUCUAUAAGACGCUGAUAAGGACGAAACAGAAACAUUUCAAUUGCUGGACGUUGGGAGAAUAUAGUGUUCUUUACUCGAGGAUCGAUGUUAUCCUGUUGUUCGAUGUGUUCAAGAACUUUAGGGAUAUUUGCCUUUUAGCAUACAAUUUGGACCCAGCAUAUUAUACAGCAUCCGGAUUCAUCUUUGACUGUACUGACAUUGAAAUAUAGAACUAGAACUUCUUUCCAACCACGAUAUGUUGCUGAUGUUUUACCGGUGGUGGACCAGUAUAGGCAAGUAUGCGAUACGGAAAGGCUAAUAAUUAAACAGUACUGAGCUAUAACAGAACAAAUGAUAAUUCAUGGCUGUAAGUAUACAUAUUUUUAAAAUAAAUAAUAUUUUAAUAUUUUUCUGAAUUUAGGUAACAAUUUGUACGGAUGGGCCAUGUCCCAAUACAUGCUUCAUGAUGUUUCAAAUAGUCUGAUCCUACAUUAAACUUAUUGAGGAAUUUGGAUGACACUUCACCUAUAGAAUGGGCAUAUGAAGUAAAUAUUUAAUAUUCAGAACACUUAAACUAAUGAUUUUGAAAAGGACUAUUACAGAUUAAUGAACAAUUCAUUAUUUAGUAAUUUAUUAUUCAUAAUUAAAACUCUACUGUUAUAAUAUUAAUAUGGUUUCAUAUGUAAGACGAUGGAGUCUAUGCAACAGAGGAUAGAUGCUAAACUGUUAUCUACUGAGAAGAGAGUACAGAAACUCAUAAACAGAAUAACAUUAAGAUCAUGAAUUAAGAUUUACAGAGUACUGAACGAAUGUGUGAUUAGUGAAGUUUGAACUUUCUCAAUUUUGGCAAGGUCACUAACACCAUCUAGUCUACUCUUUACAAACUAUGUCAAUAUUUAUUGUAGAAUAGAUAUGCAAUUUAUUACAUAUCCUACUUCAGUCUAAACUUAAAACUGGUUUUAGUUUAUUUUUAUACCAAAUUUAUCUUUAAAGCGCUAACUGUCAUGCCAUACAGUGAGAACUAGACAGAUUCAGAAAAAAAUUGAUAAGACCUUUACUUACAUUGGGUACCUGUAUAUCUUAAUUUGUGGUUCAGAUGCAUGUUUGGAGAGAACAUAUAUGUUGACAGUCCAAAACUCCUAUAUUUUUGCGCAUCUCUACACAAAACUUACUACUAUUUAACCCUAUUACUGGACUCAAACUCGUGCUAUGAAAUACAAUGACGCGUUUGAUGAUGGAGCGUAAUCAUUUGCUUUUCCUCAUUUUAUGGAGUAUAGAAAAUAACUUUUAGCUGCAUGUUAUAUUGAAGUUCAAGUAGUUAUAUACAUUUGAUCAUGGUUAUCAAUCCCUUUAUAUUGCUGCGAGGAAAAAGAAGCCUGACUUGUAAUCAAACAAGAGUAAGUAUCUUCAUUUCCUUCAAUCUGUUGAUGAGAUAUUCCACUUUUAAGUUUGGUUUGGAAGAGAGUUAUAGUGGAGUUUCAUUAAAUGAUACAAAUUUUAUGUGGCAGAAUGAUGUGUGGUGUUUUAAUAAUGCACCACUUCUCUUCUCCAACCUAAACUUAAAAGUGGAAUAUUUCGUAUAUAGGGUUGUCUGAAACGUGAUUUUACACUGAAAACUGUCCAAUUGAAAUUGGUUUUCAAUUAAAAUUUUUAUGUAUACUUCCUAAGGAAUCUUCCAAUAAAAUUUCAUAUUUGUCAUUCGUACAUACAUAUACCUGAAUAACAGCGAUUUAUACAUGUUUCUUUUAUGUUAAAAUCGUUAUUUUUUCAAAAGUUUUACCAUUUUUUUAUGCCUAUUUUAUUUACAUGAAUAUUUUUUUUUUAACAUUCAAUACAAUUAAUUUGAAGAAGUUUAAGUUAAAAUAUAUAGUUAAAUAAAUAACAAACAUGGCUACAUAUCUGUUUUCAUUAUUUUUUUUUUUUGUUAUGUAAGCAACAGAAUUUUAGAUUCUGAGUGAAGUGAAGAAGCCUAUUGUUUUACAAAGAUAUUUUUUCUUUUCUACCAGAGAUCUUGCUCCAGUUUUUAAGUGUAGAACUUUUUCUGAAAGGAAAUCAGUGUGGGGAGAUACUUUAAGGAGGUAAUUUUUCGAUUUUCAAAAGUUUGUUCAUCAAAUGUGAAAAACCAGUAGUUAUAAUUUUUAUGUUCUAUGCUGCAGAAAAACGAUGUAUAAAACCCCUAAAAAUCUAAAAACAGAAUUUUAGUUAUAUUUUUGUACUUUAUUUUUUUAAUAUUUACAAAAAUGUUUGCAAUUUUUAAUAAUUUUAACUUUAUACAAUAUAUAGUAUAGAAUAUGACAUUUCUUUCUUAAAUACUAUUAUAUAAGUUAUUUUCCUUCUCUAGUUAAUGGAUAUAUUCUACAAUACGAUCAUGAAUUAAAAUACAGUAAGCUGUUACAUCUUUUAAAUUUUUAGAGGUUUCUAUUUCAAAAUGUAAUCAACUGAAGAAGUUGUUGAAUCAUUCUGUUUCAAAGUGUCAAUAAUAACAAUCAGUCCCCAAUCUAAAAACCCUGUAGGACUUAAUAUAGGACUUCGCAUAUCACACAUAUCAUACAAUAAAGAGAAUUUUUUUUAAUAAAAUCUAUAAAUUCAAAUCAUUUUAGGGAUACAUAAAAUAAUUUAAAUAUAUGUUCAUGUUUGUUAAAUUACAAUGCUCAAAUUCACUAUAACCUUUGCUUUUUUUCUGUAAAUCAAUUAUAACAUAUCUUGGUUUUUCCAGCUUUGAAGUGGUUUUCAAAUUCCAAAAAACUUUCUGAAUCACUAAGUUCAAGAUAUUGGUAUAAAUAUUAAUAGCUUAGAAAUAAGGUUUUUUUUUACAUAUUUUUCAUUAAUUUAAAUCUCUUGUUAUCAUCUAGGCUUACAUGUGGGAUUUUCCAGACUAUUUUUUUAAUUUCCAGCGCAGCAGUACUUGUUAAUAAUGUUGACUCUGCAACUUUUUUUAAUGUAUCAACAUUUUUCCUUGUUAGUAUUAAUUCAAGUCUCAUAUUUACCAAAAUCUUUAAAAUCCUCGAAAAAUCCCAUCAAAUGCUUCAGUAGAAUACAUACACAAAAAUAUCUACGAUCAGUAUCUGUUAUAGAUUUAUUGUUUUUAAAAAAUCAGCCUGCAUUUUGAUUGCAAUUAUAUUCAUCUAAUACAUGUGAAAAAUAGCUUUUUAUCAAGCUAGUUACCCCUAAGUUUUUUUUAUCCAUUUCCACUCCAUUAAUUUUAAAUCUUACUUGGUCAAAUAGUUGAGAUAUUCUGUUUUUAAAAAGACUAGUUUUAGUUGGUUUUGCUAUUUUCCCCUUAAUAUAAAGAAAACUUUCAUGAAGAUAUGGAUAUGUGGUUUAACUGUUGAACUAAUAUUCACAAAAAUAUAAACAAUUAUACAUUUUUAAAUACAUGAAAUUUAUUAAUAUUUUAUUCUUAUAUUUUAGAUGAAUAAUUUCUAUGAAAAUUGAAUUUCAAAAACUGUCAUGUCAGCAAAACAAAAUAAGACUAAAGAAACAAAAUUCAUUAUAUAUAAAGGUUGGAGAUAAAAAAACAUCUCUGGAUCCAUGACUUGAAAAUCCAGUCUCCGAUAAAGUGACAGACUAUUUUGUAAUUGAGCAUUACAGGACCAAAGACAUGUAAGAGGCUGCAACUAACAAGCAGUAAAUUUAAAUUAAGCUUUACUAAAAUAUAGACCAUGUAUAAUAUUUUUAUAAAUUUUCAGAUGGAAAGUAGCAAAAUGCACUGAUGAGAAAGGGACUGAAGAAAACCAGUUUACAGCCAAAAUGAAUGAUGUGAUACAGGCAGGGCUGAAUAUUUUCAUUAGGAAUCUGGUAACAACUGUCAAUAAUUACAAAAUAUGAAAUUUAUAAAAAUAUAAUACAUUAGCAGUUUUUAACCUUUUUUAGAACAUGGACCCCUGAUGAAAGAUUUUUAGAAAUCGCAGACCACCUACCAAUUUUUCGUUGAAUGCCUUUUUUUUUUACAAAACAUCUCAUGUUAUCCUAACCAAAAUUAUAAUUAUUAUUAUGUAUUACAAGUUAUAAAUGCUAUUUUUAUGCAUUAGAAGUAGACAUAACAAAAUAUACA